CUACUAUUAAAACGAUUUUGACACGAAAUUUGUAUUAUCACAAGGUUUGUGCAAGAUUAGUUCCCAAAAUGCUCAUCGAAAACCAAUAUGGAUGGGAUACAUAUGAUAUAUAUUAUUAAAUAAUGUGAAGACUAACAGCACUUUUCUUUGGACAAUUUUUUAUGUUCAGCUUGAGGUUUGAUAGUGAACAUCUCAAGUUCGAUUCAACAUCCAAGUGAUUACUGUGUUUGGUUUUUAUAACGGCCAAACUGGAGAACCUAGAUUCAAAAUAAUAAGUCUAUGCAAAUUGUAUAAGUACUUUUAGGCCCGGCGUCCACCAAAUUAACGUGACUCGUGAUAUGACAAGGGACGUGACGAGUGGUUUAGCAAGUGACGUGUCAUACUAGUUAUUUGUCAUUACACACAUACAAAAAUCAUUCAUGUUCGUACACUGAUCAAACCUGUCAGAUCACGUAUCAGUUUUGUGUAACUUCUAAAAUUUUGUUGGUGACAAAAGUACUGCAUGUUCUACUUU